rnacentral:rRNA from 1 species
CAAGUCGGACGGGAUUGGAGAGCUUGCUUUCCAUGAGAGUGGCGCACGGGUGCGUAACACGUAUGUAACCUACCUUAGUCAGGGGGAUAGCCUCUCGAAAGAGAGAUUAACACCGCAUAACAUUAUGAUAUGGCAUCAUAUUAUAAUCAAAUAUUUAUAGGACUAAGAUGGGCAUGCGGAACAUUAGCUAGUUGGUAAGGUAACGGCUUACCAAGGCUACGAUGUUUAGGGGAUCUGAGAGGAUGACCCCCCACACUGGUACUGAGACACGGACCAGACUCCUACGGGAGGCAGCAGUAAGGAAUAUUGGUCAAUGGACGCAAGUCUGAACCAGCCAUGCCGCGUGCAGGAAGACGGCCCUACGGGUUGUAAACUGCUUUUGUACCGGAAUAAACCUUUGUAUGUAUACGAAGCUGAAUGUACGGUAAGAAUAAGGAUCGGCUAACUCCGUGCCAGCAGCCGCGGUAAUACGGAGGAUCCAAGCGUUAUCCGGAUUUAUUGGGUUUAAAGGGUGCGUAGGUGGCCUAUUAAGUCAGGGGUGAAAGACGGUAGCUUAACUAUCGCAGUGCCUUUGAUACUGAUGGGCUUGAAUACACUAGAGGUAGGCGGAAUGUGACAAGUAGCGGUGAAAUGCAUAGAUAUGUCACAGAACACCAAUUGCGAAGGCAGCUUACUAUGGUGUCAUUGACACUGAGGCACGAAAGCGUGGGGAUCAAACAGGAUUAGAUACCCUGGUAGUCCACGCCCUAAACGAUGAACACUCGAUGUUGGCGAUAUACGGUC